CUGGGCAGUGAUUUUUUUUUCUUUGUGUUGAAGCGGGUCUGGAGCGGUGGAUUGUCCACGGGAUCCGGAUCGGGAGAGGGUCCUCGCCCCCUCGGGCGGCGAGCCGGGGGGGCCGGUCGGAUCAUUCUCUGCGGAGCGGGACCGACAAGAUCCAUGCGUUAGACCUGUGGUGAGAGAUUUAUUGGAAGAAAAGCCCACAACUGGAAGCAAACCACGACUGAAGACGAGGGAACAGCAACAAGUGAACCAGCCCGAGGACUGAGAGCAUCAACUGGAGAGAACCCAUCUGACUCGGAGAUUCCACUGAUUCAGUCAGGAGAAAGUUUGGAUGUCCCAGUUGGUGUUUUAGCGACCAGUGCUUGGAGCUCAGUUGUUCCCAAACUGUGUCAACAAUUUGGCUGACGGACCAAAUUAAACAUUUCCAAGUCAGCUCUUGGAAAAAAUGUA